UACGUAGGGGGCAAGCGUUGUCCGGAUUUAUUGGGCGUAAAGAGCGUGUAGGCGGCCAGGUAGGUCCGUUGUGAAAACUGGAGGCUUAACCUCCAGCUGUCGAUGGAAACCAUCUGGCUAGAGUCCGGAAGAGGAGAGUGGAAUUCCUGGUGUAGCGGUGAAAUGCGCAGAUAUCAGGAGGAACACCAGCGGCGAAGGCGGCGCUCUGGCCGGUACUGACACUGAGGAGCGAAAGCGUGGGUAGCAAACAGG
rnacentral:rRNA from 1 species